UAACUGACGCUGAGGCUCGAAAGCAUGGGUAGCAAACAGGAUUAGAUACCCUGGUAGUCCAUGCCGUAAACGAUGAUUACUAGGUGUGGGGAGAUUGACCCUCUCCGUGCCGCAGUUAACACAAUAAGUAAUCCACCUGGGGAGUACGACCGCAAGGUUGAAACUCAAAGGAAUUGACGGGGGCCCGCACAAGCAGUGGAGUAUGUGGUUUAAUUCGAAGCAACGCGAAGAACCUUACCAGGUCUUGACAUCCGAUGCAUAGCAUAGAGAUAUGUGAAGUCCUUCGGGACAUCGAGACAGGUGGUGCAUGGUUGUCGUCAGCUCGUGUCGUGAGAUGUUGGGUUAAGUCCCGCAACGAGCGCAACCCCUAUUGUUAGUUACUACGUAAGAGGACUCUAGCAA
rnacentral:rRNA from 1 species